rnacentral:rRNA from 1 species
AUGACCAUACCUAUCAUAAAGCACGGGAUCCCGUCCGCUCUCCCCUAGUUAACAUGAUAAGGGGCAGAUUAGUAGUUGGGUCGGUGACGACCAGCGAACACCGGCUGUUGUAUGUC